rnacentral:rRNA from 1 species
UGGGGAAUUUUGGACAAUGGGCGCAAGCCUGAUCCAGCCAUGCCGCGUGAGUGAAGAAGGCCUUCGGGUUGUAAAGCUCUUUCGGUGGGGAAGAAAUCGCAUUCUUUAAUAGAGGGUGUGGAUGACGGUACCCGCACAAGAAGCACCGGCUAACUACGUGCCAGCAGCCGCGGUAAUACGUAGGGUGCGAGCGUUAAUCGGAAUUACUGGGCGUAAAGCGUGCGCAGGCGGUUAUAUAAGUCAGAUGUGAAAUCCCCGGGCUCAACCUGGGAACUGCAUUUGAGACUGUAUGGCUAGAGUGUGGCAGAGGGGGGUGGAAUUCCACGUGUAGCAGUGAAAUGCGUAGAGAUGUGGAGGAACACCGAUGGCGAAGGCAGCCCCCUGGGCCAAGACUGACGCUCAUGCACGAAAGCGUGGGGAGCAAACAGG